CUUCAGCGAGCCCAGCCACAGCGGGUCGUCCUCGGGUCGGUCGACGCCGUAGGUGGCGAUCAGCGCCUGCGCCUC
rnacentral:antisense_RNA from 1 species